GAUGAGGCAGCGCAGGGGCUGCUGGUUGGGUCCCUGGUGUUGAAACGCGAUGGCUUUCCCGUUCGGGAGAGGGAGCAUGAGACAGCUGGUGGUGGGCGAAUGCCUCUGCUGCGUGGACGAGCUAGGAGGUUCCGAGAGUGCGCGCAGAUUCCUCUGGACCUCUGUCAGUUUUAAAUCAACGCCGAGUAUGCGGGGGCAAGACUCAAAGAUCCACGAAAAGCAUCUAAAAGGAGUAUUUCAGCAAAGUGAUGUUUUCCCACCAUCAGAACCUGGGCCGUCAGUGCUUACCCCAGAGCCACUGGGCCCAUCUCCUUACUUCCCAAAGCUGUGUUUUCACAAAUUCACAUCCUUGGAUACCUGAAAACGCUAUGGACUGAGAACCAGAAAACGCUAGUUUUCACUACAGCCAAGCGAGUUAAGGACUGAAAUCUUGUGACUUUGAACAUGUUGCUCAGUUUCCUUGUUUAUAAAAGAGAACACGUGGAGUACUUUCCUAAUGGGUUCAUCUAACAUGUAAUGAAAAAUGUACGUAAAGCAUUUGAGCACUUCAUACAUUUUCAUUAAAUGUUAGCCACUAUAAUUUUCAGUGCAGUAUUACCACUUAUUUGUUUACUUCCACCCUUUAAACAACUGUGUCUUUUCUUUUUUUAUUUUAAUGAAUGCAAUGGUCCUGCCACUUUAUUUUCCAUAACACAAAUUCCAGAAGAAAAGGAAUUGUACAUUUUAAAUUGAUUAUACAUAUUUUUACCAUUAAAUAAUAAAUGAAUCAAUAUCUUAGUACUUUUAAAAUACCUUCAAUGUCUGAGGAUACAAAUUACGAUAUGAUAAAUAUUCAAAACCUGGGGUAAAUUCACUAGCAGUAAUGACACAGUAAUGAAGCACCAUCAGCUUACA
rnacentral:lncRNA from 1 species